CCGCUGAAUUUAAGCAUAUAAUUAAGCGGAGGAAAAGAAACUAACCAGGAUUCCCUCAGUAAGGGCGACUGAAGCGGGAAGAGCUCGAACCGAAGAAUUGUGGUGUGUUUGCAUUAUUGGUCCGGUCGAAGUCCCUUGGAACAGGGCGGCCUAGAGGGUGAGACCCCCGUUUGGCUGGACCUUUGAGCUUACAUAAUAGAGUCGAGUUGUUUGGGAUUGCAGCUCAAAGUGGGUGGUAAAUUCCAUCGAAAGCUAAAUAUUGGUGGGAGACCGAUAGCGUACAAGUACCGUGAGGGAAAGAUGCAAAGAACUUUGAAAAGAGAGUUAAAGAGUACCUGAAAUUGCUGAAAUGGAAGCGAAGGAAACCAGUGUCGUGCGUGUCAUAUUUCUCUGCUCGCUUGCGAGUUGAGCGCUGUGGCUGCACUGGUCAAGGUUGGUUGGAGACGGCGUAAUUCAUGCUGUCUCUGACUGAGUUUUGACGAAAUGGUUUUCUUUACCCCGUCUUGAAACACGGGACCAAGG
rnacentral:rRNA from 1 species